AACGAACGCUGGCGGCAUGCCUAACACAUGCAAGUCGAACGAGACCUUCGGGUCUAGUGGCGCACGGGUGCGUAACGCGUGGGAACCUGCCCUUAGGUUCGGAAUAACUCCCCGAAAGGGGUGCUAAUACCGGAUAAUGUCUUCGGACCAAAGAUUUAUCGCCUUUGGAUGGGCCCGCGUUGGAUUAGCUAGUUGGUAGGGUAAAAGCCUACCAAGGCGACGAUCCAUAGCUGGUCUGAGAGGAUGAUCAGCCACACUGGGACUGAGACACGGCCCAGACUCCUACGGGAGGCGGCAGUGGGGAAUAUUGGACAAUGGGCGAAAGCCUGAUCCAGCAAUGCCGCGUGAGUGAUGAAGGCCUGAGGGUUGUAAAGCUCUUUUACCCGGGAUGAUAAUGACAGUACCGGGAGAAUAAGCUCCGGCUAACUCCGUG
rnacentral:rRNA from 1 species